CUGGUGUCAGCCGCCGCGGUAAUACCAGCACCUCGAGUGGUCAGGACGUUUAUUGGGCCUAAAGCAUCCGUAGCCGGCUCUGCAAGUCUUCGGUUAAAUCCACCUGCUCAACAGAUGGGCUGCUGGAGAUACUACAGAGCUAGGGAGUGGGAGAGGCAGACGGUAUUCAGUGGGUAGGGGUAAAAUCCUCUGAUCCAUUGAGGACCACCAGUGGCGAAGGCGGUCUGCCAGAACACGUUCGACGGUGAGGGAUGAAAGCUGGGGGAGCAAACCGGAUUAGAUACCCGGGUAGUCCCAGCUGUAAACGAUGCAAACUCGGUGAUGCAUUGGCUUAUGGCCAAUGCAGUGCCGCAGGGAAGCCGUUAAGUUUGCCGCCUGGGAGGUACGGACGCAAGUCUGAAACUUAAAGGAAUUGGCGGGGGAGCACCACAAGGGGUGAAGCCUGCGGUUCAAUUGGAGUCAACGCCAGGAAUCUUACCCGGGGAGACAGCAGAAUGAAGGUCAAGCUGAAGACUUUACCAGACAAGCU
rnacentral:rRNA from 2 species